GAUGCUGUUCUCUUUGGGCUGUCUUAAUUACACAGGGGUUGAGAAACCAAAUUAAAAUUAGGCGUGUCUGGUCAACAGUGAUCACGUUGCAUGCUUUUAGCUUUGCUUGUUGAAGUUGCUUCUCCUCCCUGAGUGGCUUUCCUCCUAUUUUUUUUUUUUUUUAAAAGGAAAUAUCAUAAGCUCUUUCAGAAAUACUCACAGGAAGUGAGUGUCCGUAUGCUGGUUACUCACCAGCAACUGAGUGUUGGCAGGUGGAGAAUGCUACCGCAGCCCGCCCAGACGGAUCUGCAGACUGGCCCCAUUGCAGAGGAUUAGACACAGGGUGCGUGGAUCAUAGGGUUUUUGUACAGAAGGCAGUUUUAAGAGGAAAUUGGUCACUGCAUGUCAUCUCGAGGGGUGGUGAUUCAGGGAGCAGGGCUGGGGGUCAGAAGGCACGUGGCUGCCAUCUCGGAGGUUCCUGCUCACUUCUCAGAGGGCAGGCUGGCUUCUAAAAAUCAAUGCUCCCUCCACCCCCAAACAGCGAUUCUUCUGCAGUGAAUCACUUCCAGAAAUGAAUAGCCACAGUUUUUUGGAAUGAACGUUGUGAAAUCCCUCCUUUAUAAUGGCAGGUUUUCAGUUGGUGGUUUUAUCAGAAUUUCUCAAGAUCAAAACGAAACCUUCUCUUUAAAAAGGAAAGAAAGUACUAUCGAUACAGAAAGCAAAAGUAUUUCCAGUCUCCUACUGAACUGUCACGGCAGACCUCUCUGUAUCUAUAUUUAGAGAUGUAUGUCCAUAUAUUUGCCUGAAUGUGUGAGUUCUUGGAAGUAUGGAUUCGUUGCCAGGAGCUGGUGAUUUCCUAUGCAGAGGUCGCUCACUACAAGAAAUGUUACACUCGGACAAGUCCUGCGCUUGGGAUCCUUUGUACAACCAUUCACAGGUGCAAGUCUUCCGAACAAAUGCCUCCUGAGGAUUUGUGUGCCUGGAAAAUAUCUGUGAACAGAUUGCUUUUACACCUACUUAUUUGGUGCUACUUCUACUCCUCAGGACCAAAGCUGGCUUUCAUGGUUUACUCAUGUACUUACUGAUGAAACCCUGAAACUUGGAGCCAGUGACUGUUCAGAGGUCCCUAUGAAGAUGCGCUGAAGGGUGUAAAGGACGGAGCAGUAAAGAGUGCUGGCUGAAUCCCUGGGCUGGGAAUCAGGCAUGUUGGAGUUUGAGUCCUGGUCUGCCACUCCAGCUCUGUGACCAAGAGGAAGUCAUGUACCCUUUCUAAGUCUCUAGCCCAUCUUCUGAAAGACGAAGAUGCUACCACCAACCAUGUUAGUGGUUGUGAAUGCCAACAAAGUCCAUGGGAAGCACACAGCAGUGGCUGCCGUGGACUGAGUGUUCCCAAGAUGGAAGCUAUGACAAUUUCACAGAGUCCUCUUCCCAUCAUUUUCCAGUUCAUUUUGGCCUUUUCCCUCGAAAUCACUCCCGUGUUCUGAUCCAGCUGAUGAGACACCAAACAUUCAUAUAGUGCUUUAAAAGUGACCCACUGUUUUUAUAAACGCAUUACAUAUGACCCUAACAACCACUGCAAUAUAGAAAUUCGCAUCUCCAUUCUCCAGAUCAGGAAACUGAAACUCGGAAAAAUUAAAUGAUUUGCCCAGGAUCACAUAGCUAGUAAGCAGCCCAGCCAGAUCCUGUGUUAACUUGUUCAUCCACUUCCUAUAAGAAAACAUCCAUUCAAGGCAUGUGGGGCAACAAAGAAAGACUUAGAGUUGUGUGGCCCCUCGUCAGGACAGGGCCAGCUGCACCUAUAGUCCGGCUGGAAUAGGCGACUUAGGACUAUUGUGUCCCAUGUCCCAAACACUUUGAAGCCACAUCUUAAAGAAGUGUCCUGCUCAGAUGCAGUUCUCCUUGUGAAAUCCGCAGGCCCCAAGGGAAGUGACUUUAAUCCAGUUUGCUCAUGCAAGAACAGACUGGCAUUUCACAUCCAGGAAAACAAUGGAUUUGUACUGUUCAGCUUUUGCCAUGCAAGGAGUUCCUGGUGUCAUUUAUCAAUUUACAUCUCAGGCUCCAGCUUCACUAUCAGAUUUGGAAGAAAAAAGUUACAAAGAAAGGCAGCUUGCUGAGAAACAGCAGAAGCAUGACAGUACAGACUGGGUUUUGAAAUGGAGACACAUUCUCAUGGCUUGUGGGCUGAGAGACACCGAGAAAGGAUUUUGUUCUUGAAAGAUGAUUGUUUUAAUGCUGGAGAUGGAGAGUUUUGACAAUUUUAAGUGCAUGUUCUGUGUGUAAGAGUCAUUACAUUUUUUUUUUUUCUUUCAGAUGUUGCCAUGCCUUAAAAUUGCUGAUGAUUAAAAUAGAACAUCCUGAGUUACAGAAAUUCAGCCCUACCGUAUCCUGGCCUAAAAAUACAGAACAAUCACAUUGAUUGUUGGAAAUGAGAGGCUAGGGAGGGUUGGAAACAUGCUAAUGUUUACUGAGUGAAAUCUUUCCUUCUCAGUAGAGUUGCCCUUGCAGCUGAAAGUCACUGAAAGACUCAACAAAAUCAGCGGAUCCCACUUGCUCUCACUCUGUUCUCGUUUGCAUGACCUGGAAAGGGAAUGAAUGAGCCCUUUUAAAUUUAUCAACUGGUUUUCUUCCAUCUCCUUCCUAGUGAGCCACGGGGUUUUUUGCUGUUAACCGGGUAGCCAGUCUCUUCAUGCAGACUUGUUUACAGGAAACUAGCCUCUUGCUUCAUGUGAAAACAGGGACCCAACUCAA